rnacentral:ncRNA from 1 species
UUAUAUGUAAAUUUUAAUAUAAAUUAUAAUUUUAAAUAAAUAGUUGUACAGUAAAAAAAAUUAAAUAUUUAGUAAUUUAAGAUUUAGCAAUAAUAAAUGUUAUUAACAAAAUUUGUGCCAGCAGUUGCGGUUAUUCAAAUAAUAAAAUAAAAAUUUAUUUAAAAUUAAUAAAUUUUAUAUUAUAUAUACGUAUAUUUAUUAUUAUUAGGUGAAAUUUUAAUUUUUAAUUAAGUAAUUUUUUUUUAUUUGAUUUCAGAAUUUACAAUAAAAGACUAGGAUUAGAUACCCUAUUAUUUAGUAGAGUAAAAAAUAUUUUUAAAUUAGUAUUUGUUAUGAUCAUCAAAAUUAAAAAAUUUGGCGGUAUUUUAAUCUAUUCAGAGGAACCUGUUCAGUAAUUGAUAAUCCACGAUUUAUUUUACUUUUUUUAAUAAUUUGUAUAUCGUCGUUAAAAAUAUUUUUAUAUAAUUUUAAUAUUUGUAAUUUUUAAAAAAAUUAUAAAACAGAUCAUGAUGCAGUUUAUAUUAAAGUUAGAAAUGGGUUACAUUAAAAUUUUAUUUUUGAAUAUUUAAUUGUAAAUUAAAUUGAAAUUGGAUUUGAUAGUAAUUUUUAUUAGAUAAUAAAAAUGAUUAUAGCUCUAAAAUAUGUACAUAUCGCCCGUCGCUUUCAAUAAAAUGAAAUAAGUCGUAACAAAGUAGAUUAACUGGAAAGUGAAUCUAGAAAGUC